rnacentral:sRNA from 1 species
UUUCUUAUUUGUUAAAAAAAAUAUCUGCAUGGUGAAUCCCCCUGUGCGGAGGGGCAUAUCAGCAAGGUUGCAAUUAUCCUUCGGCUUUAGCGGCAAUAUUGCGGGUUCGGAUGCUGAUGCCGGACUCACCGGGAGGCACCCGGCACCAUGCAGAUGAUGGAACAUUGCGCAUACAAAAACCUGCCCUUCUCCGGAAGGGCUUUUUUAUGGG